rnacentral:rRNA from 1 species
AUGGUCAAGCUGGUCGUGACUUUGUGGGCAAUAUGGUCGGCAAGGCGUAAAGCUAUCCAUGAGGGAGUCCUAAAGAGCCCUCACGCUACACAUGCAUUUGUGACUAGCUUCAUCUCUGAACUAGAAUCUCUGAAGACCCCAGCGUAUGUUGUACAAAAUGCGGCUACGACUAGCUCGGGAGCAAGGCGUACUAGUACGUGGUUGGCCCCUGCUGUGGGAGUGGCGAAGAUACAAGUUGAUGGAGGCCAGGCGAGGAACGGUAGGAGCGGUGCAGCUGCGGCACUCUGCCGAGACCACAAUGGCCUCUAUUUGGGGUCGUCGGCUAUGUCCUUUUCAGAUAUUUCUAACCCAGCGACGCUAGAGGCGCUAGCUUGUCGAGAAGCGCUGAAUCAAGCGCUGGAUUUGUCACUUGAGCACAUUAUCAUCGCAUGUGAUAAUAAGACUGUGGUGGCGGAUAUCAAUAACGGCACUGAAGGUCCAUACAGUGCUAUCAUCAAGGAGAUUCUUGCCCGGGCGAGGAGUUUCAGAAGCUGUGAGUUUAUUUUUGAAGGACGGGCAGGGAACAUUGAUGCUCAUAAUUUAGCUAAAUUUUCAUCUUCUUUAGAUGUUGGUCGCCAUUUGUGGCUGAGAGUACCCCAUGACCAGUUUGUAAUUCCUGUAAACCGUUCGGCUUCGCCAUAA